UUGUCUUGGAGAGUUGUCUCAUUAGCGAUCAUACCACAUCUUCUUUUUUUUUAACUAUACAACAAACAACGGAUUAUAACAGGAGUACCGUUGUUUGUUCCUGAUUUUGUGGUGAAGCGUGUUUAGGACUCUUCUAAGUCUUUUCUUCAGUCGUGGUCUUUUUAUGCCUUUUGUCGUAAGUACUUCUUUGCUAUUUUCUUCUGUUUUC
rnacentral:lncRNA from 1 species